rnacentral:rRNA from 1 species
CUGUUGGUGAGGUAAUGGCCCACCAAACCUAAAACCGGUACGGGCUCUGAGAGGAGAAGCCCAGAGAUGGGCACUGAGACAAGGGCCCAGGCCCUAUGGGGCGCAGCAGGCGUGAAAACUCUGCAAUAGGCGAAAGCUUGACAGGGUUAUUCUGAGUGAUCUCCGUUAAGGAAAUCUUUUGGCACCUCUAAAAAUGGUGCAGAAUAAGGGGUGGGCAAGCCUGGUGUCAGCCGCCGCGGUAAUACCAGCACCCCGAGUGGUCGGGACGAUUAUUGGGCCUAAAGCAUCCGUAGCCGGUUCUACAAGUCUUCCGUUAAAUCCACCUGCUUAACAGAUGGGCUGCAGAGGAUACUAUAGAGCUAGGAGGCGGGAGAGGCAAGCGGUACUCAGUGGGUAGGGGUAAAAUCCGUUGAUCCACUGAAGACCACCAGUGGCGAAGGCGGCUUGCCAGAACGCGCUCGACGGUGAGGGAUGAAAGCUGGGGGAGCAAACCGGAUUAGAUACC